rnacentral:snoRNA from 1 species
GCCUAUGUUUGAAGGGAUUACAGGCUGCCUGUGUCCUGGUCACUGGUGAUGCAGGCAAAGGAAAAGUUGCAAGGCUUUCUUUAUGUUCAGGGGUUCCAGAUUAGGACAGCCCUACGUGACAGCACAAG